rnacentral:rRNA from 1 species
UAAGGAAUUUUGGACAAUGGGCGAAAGCCUGAUCCAGCAAUGCCGCGUGAGUGAAGAAGGCCUUCGGGUUGUAAAGCUCUUUUGUCAGGGAAGAAACGGUGAAAGCUAAUAUCUUUUGCUAAUGACGGUACCUGAAGAAUAAGCACCGGCUAACUACGUGCCAGCAGCCGCGGUAAUACGUAGGGUGCAAGCGUUAAUCGGAAUUACUGGGCGUAAAGCGUGCGCAGGCGGUUGUGUAAGUCAGAUGUGAAAUCCCCGGGCUCAACCUGGGAAUUGCAUUUGAGACUGCACGGCUAGAGUGUGUCAGAGGGGGGUAGAAUUCCACGUGUAGCAGUGAAAUGCGUAGAUAUGUGGAGGAAUACCGAUGGCGAAGGCAGCCCCCUGGGAUAACACUGACGCUCAUGAACGAAAGCGUGGGGAGCAAACA